rnacentral:rRNA from 1 species
GAUGAACGCUAGCGGCAGGCCUAACUCAUGCAAGUCGAACGGUAACAUGAAGUGCUUGCACUUUGAUGACGAGUGGCGCACGGGUGCGUAACGCGUAUACAAUCUACCUUUUACAGGAGGAUAGCCUUUAGAAAUGAAGAUUAAUACUCCAUGGUAUUAUUAAUUGGCAUCAAUUGAUAAUUAAAGCUUCGGUGGUAAAAGAUGAGUAUGCGUUCUAUUAGCUAGAUGGUGUGGUAACGGCACACCAUGGCAACGAUAGAUAGGGGCCCUGAGAGGGGGAUCCCCCACACUGGUACUGAGACACGGACCAG